rnacentral:tRNA from 1 species
AGAUCUUAUAGUUUAAUUAAAAUUUAAGACUGCAAUUCUUAAGAUGCAUAUUUGGUUUGCUAAGAU